UGAACACGGCGCUCGGGCUGGUUCGCCGGUUGCCUCCGCCGCCGGGCAUGACCAGCGUCUGCAGCUGCCGGACCAGCUCGGGCAUGCGGUCCCAGUGGCCCUCCGCGCGGCAGCGCUCCAGCUCGCUCUCCAUCUUCAGGCCCUGCAGAGUCUCUGAUGAUGGCUUUCAGCUGAGAAUGAAAUCAGAGCUUAAAAUCUACCAUAAGAGGUUUUCUCUGUUCCGUAGGAGGUUUACUUUAAAGAGAGAGAGACACAGAGAGAGAGGGAACACAAGCAGGAGGAGUGGGAGAGGGAGAAGCAGGCUUCCCGCGGAGCAAGGAGCCCGAUGUGGGACUCGAUCCCAGGACCCUGGGAUCAUGACCUGAGCCGAAGGCAGACGCUUAACGACUGAGCCACCCAGGCACCCUAGACCUCACUUUCAACCACAUGAUCUUGGGAAGAAGACCUCAAGCCUCACAUGAGACCCCACCCCUACCCAAAACCUUGAUUUCAGCUUUGUGAGUCUCUGAGCUGUGAGCCUAAUUGGUCCUUACCUGGACUUCACAUCUAUACAACUGUGAGAAAAUAAAUGGGUAUUGUUUUAAGGUCCUGAGUUUGUAGUAAUU